UACGAGGGGUGCAAGCGUUGCUCGGAAUUAUUGGGCGUAAAGGGUAGGUAGGUGGUCUCAUUUGUCUGGGGUGAAAGCCUUGAGCUUAACUCAAGAAGUGCCCCGGAAACGGUGAGACUGGAGUCUUGGAGAGGGUCGUGGAAUUCCCGGUGUAGCGGUGAAAUGCGUAGAUAUCCGGAGGAACACCGGUGGCGAAGGCGGCUUCCUGGACCGACACUGACGCUGAGGCGCGAAAGCUAGGGGAGCAAACGGG
rnacentral:rRNA from 1 species